UCGCGUCUANCAUGCNAGUCGAACGAUGAACCACUUCGGUGGGGAUUAGUUGGCGAACGGGUGAGUAACACGUUGGGCAAUCUGCCCUGCACUCUGGGACAAGCCCUGGAAACGGGGUCUAAUACCGGAUACUGACCCGCCUGGGCAUCCAGGCGGUUCGAAAGCUCCGGCGGUGCAGGAUGAGCCCGCGGCCUAUCAGCUUGUUGGUGAGGUAACGGCUCACCAAGGCGACGACGGGUAGCCGGCCUGAGAGGGCGACCGGCCACACUGGGACUGAGACACGGCCCAGACUCCUACGGGAGGCAGCAGA
rnacentral:rRNA from 1 species